AUGGCUGCUGCUGCUCCUGCCACUGCGGCUGCUAUCCAUGAAUGUUGGGUAAGGGAUGGGAGUAAUGAUGUUAUCUGUGAAAAUAGCCACCAUUUGCCCAUAAGACAAAACUUGGGGCCCAUCUACCCUGACCACAUCAUGAUGUUCAUCUGCAGCUGUUGCAAGGUGUUCAGAUUGUGUAAAUACAAAUGGCAUAAAAACUUUAAAAGAAGUGCAAUUCUCGAAAAUUGGACUAAAGCAUUCUGUAAAGCAACGGAUAAUAAUGAGCUUACAGUGGAUAAUUCAUUUGAAUUUGAAAAAUACAGAAAUGAGCCUGUCAAAUACCAGCAAGAACUAUGGAAUAAAACUACUGAUGCAAUGAAGACAGUUGGAAAGAUCAAACAAAUGCCAAGCUAAAUUUAUAAUGAAUAAAUUGAAGAAAAAUAAAGGACUAUAGAAAGCUCAGGACAUCAAAGAAGUCAGGCAAAACUCAUCUUAUCUUGAACCUCUUUCAGGCAAAGGAAAGCAGCUGGAAGAGAAGAUGAUACAACCGUUACAACAGGAUGCAGACAUGAAAGAGGCUUCCUAAAAAUCUCAUUGUCUAUAACCAUUUCUAUAUUUACAUUUGAAAAUCUCCUUUGGAGACUUAGAACCUCUAAAUUAUUGACUUAUUUUUUAUAUAAGAUCACUCAAAUGAAAGGUGAUUAAAAAUCAUCUACGUUGCUGUCUACAAAACAUCAGAUAAUAUGGAUGUUAGAUUGCAUCUCAUUGUUAAGUCUUUACUGAUAGAUAUGUUUGUAAAUACAGAAAUGAAAUGUGGACAUAAAAUGGUUAUGCUAUUUGGUUAAUGGUACUAGGCAACAUUUCUGUAAUUAAUGACAUUCAAAAAUUUAUGGCUAGUGAUAUAUAUAAAGUAAAAUUUUCUUUGCAGUAAAAUAUGCCCUUUAUUGUUAUAGAAGGGAGGAUAUAAGGAACCAACAGUUUGUAUGAAAAUAGCUCAAAUAGUAUCUUUUAUUUUGAUUUUAAUAUUUCCUAUUUUGGUUUAUUAGCAUCUUAGAACAAAAUGGCCUUAUAUAAUGAAGCCUAGUUAAGCUGUACUGUUUUGACCUGUUUUAAUUGUUCUGACAGAUAGUUGGGGAUGAAAGCCGAAUAGCAUUUGCCUGAAAUGACUGACACUGUAUAAUUUCUGCUUUGGCAAUACUCAGUUCUGACUUGUGAUUCCUGGUAGAACAGACUUUUUUUUUUUUGAGCCUAGCAAUGCUCUAGAAGCAGAUGUUAUCUCAGCGCCUUUUAAAAUUUGUUGUAUGGUUUUCUUUUAAAAAACCACACAAUAAUUUUGGAAAACAAUGUAUGGGUAGAACAUCUGUUAUUUGCACGCAAAACCACUUCUAAUGGGUACAAAGUUAAAUUAGGAGGAAUACGUUCGGAUGUCCUAUUGCACAGUAGGGUGACUAUAGUUAAUGUAUUGAAUGUUCUUGCUACAAAUAAAUGAUAAAUGUUUAA